CUAGAUGGCACUGCCUUAGUGACUUUGGGUGAUCUUAAAAAGCUAAGCAGGGCCAGAUUUGAUUAGUACUUGGGUGGGAGACCACAGGAAAUCCUGUGGCCUUAAGC
rnacentral:rRNA from 1 species